GAAAAAAAAAUAAUGGAAACUUGAUGAAUUUCAAAACGAGGCUACAACAACAAUUUGUUUUCAAAUUCAAACAAAGACAAAGGAAGGACAUUAUGCACAUCAUAGAAGACAAUUCGCAUAGUGAAAAACUGACACUUAAUUUUUGUGUGAUGACAAUUAGCUGAUAAGAUUGUAUACAUGAACAACAGUCGACAGAAAACACCAUUUGGACAUAAAAGAAUGAUAAGUGCAUCAAAUUAAGUUUCAAGGAAAACAAAACAAGUUGAACCUCAAAACAAGUUUGACACAGUGCCUUCGUAGAUGAAAAUAAUCAGGAUCCAGUGGUGGACUUUUAGUGUCUCAGAAUUAUUCACAUGGAGGUGUAUAUCUCCAAAUUAAAUACAUUUAAGUUAGU